UACGAAGGGGGCUAGCGUUGUUCGGAAUUACUGGGCGUAAAGCGUGCGUAGACGGUUAUUUAAGUCGGGUGUGAAAGCCCCGGGCUCAACCUGGGAAUUGCAUUCGAGACUGAAUAGCUAGGGUACGGUAGAGGGAAGCGGAAUUUCCGGUGUAGCGGUGAAAUGCGCAGAUAUCGGGAGGAACACCGGUGGCGAAGGCGGGUCUCUGGGCCGAUACUGACGCUGAGGAGCGAAAGCGUGGGGAGCGAACAGG
rnacentral:rRNA from 1 species